UACGUAGGUGGCAAGCGUUGUCUGGAUUUACUGGGCGUAAAGAGCGCGCAGGCGGUCGGAUUAGUCGCGUGUGAAAGCCCCCGGCUCAACUGGGGAGGGUCACGCGAUACUGUUCGACUCGAAGGCAGGAGAGGGAAGUGGAAUUCCCGGUGUAGUGGUGAAAUGCGUAGAGAUCGGGAGGAACACCCGUGGCGAAGGCGGCCAACUGGGAUACACCUGACGCUGAGGCACGAAGGCGUGGGGAGCGAACGGG
rnacentral:rRNA from 1 species